rnacentral:rRNA from 1 species
GACGAACGCUGGCUGCGUGCUUAACACAUGCAAGUCGAACGCUGAAGCUCACAGCUUGCUGUGGGUGGAUGAGUGGCGAACGGGUGAGUAACACGUGAGUAACCUGCCCCCGAUUUCGGGAUAAGCCCGGGAAACUGGGUCUAAUACCGGAUAUGACCACCGGCCGCAUGGUUGGUGGUGGAGAGUUCUUCGAUCGGGGAUGGGCUCGCGGCCUAUCAGCUUGUUGGUGGGGUAAUGGCCUACCAAGGCGACGACGGGUAGCCGGCCGGAGAGGGUGGCCGGCCACACUGGAACUGGGAUACGGUCCAGACUCCUACGGGAGGCAGCAGUGGGGAAUAUUGGGCAAUGGGCGAAAGCCUGACCCAGCGACGCCGCGUGGGGGAAGAAGUCUUUCGGGAUGUAAGCCCUUGUUGUACGGGACGAAGGAAGUGACGGUACCGUACGAGGAAGCCCCGGCAAACUACGUGCCAGCCGCCGCCGUAAAAC